UUUAAACGGAGAGUAGAUGGAGUGAAUUCUUUGAUGCCUGAAUGGUUUCACAGCAACACAAGGCUAAGUAUUACAUCGUAAAGAUAAUUUGGGCACUGCGUGUUCUGGUUUGGUUUGCCCCACCCCCUGCUGGGCCCAGGGGACCAAAGUUAUGUUGUCCAGAUGGGAAAUAAUAGCCCACACCUGGGCUUCGGCCAGGACCCCAAACUAGACUCCUGCAUGGCCCCAAAGCCUGACUCAGCUAAACAUCCACAGAGACCGGUCCCAUCCAUGCUGUGGUCUGACCAGUGUCAGCCAACACACAAUUAACCAGACCAAACCAAAGCUCCUGAACACCAGCUAAUAUCAUUGAAAGGCUUCAGCUUAUUGCUUGAGACAGUUUGCAUUUGCGGCGUUUUUAUUCACCGUGGACUCAAUGAUGGAAAUGAUGAUUGUAAAAGAAAAGAACAGCAAGUCACACACAAAAUGUAAACUUUAUUUGUUGCAUGUCUAACACCUUUGACAGAUCUUUACACGGUGAUACCCACAGAACUCAGAAUGUCAGCAAAGGGCACUGGCAGAUGAAUAUAGAAUAUCUUAUUCGGCAGGAAUUCAUGAUUUAUUUAAAAACAAGUGAAAAACAUUAAACAAAAGCAAAACUGUCCAAACAGCCUUUAAACCUUUAUUAAGUGUCAGACGACAUUUAAUUUAACGGGUAACUUCUGUUUUCCUUUUCUUGUUAAACCUGAGUACCACCCCAUUAUAGCACGGGUGGGCGGAUCCCCAAACUAAUACUGAAGUUUAUAGAGGGACUUUUAUGCAGUUCAGCUCUCAGCAACAACGACAGACCGGCGGGGCAGAAGAGUAGGAGUACCACCUGAGCCCAUGGAGAUAAGCAGCAUUGAAAAGGAGGUAAUCAAGAAGACUCCUCCCUCUCUUUUAUACUACCCACACAGGAUAGUGGACCUGCCUGGUCUUGGGAGUAGGCUGAAGGCCCCAAACAGGAAGAAUCUUUUAACCCCGACCUCUUUACUACGGACACUUUUUGUUUCAUGCGUCCACGUCCACUGGGUCGCUGAAGUGUAAGUGACCAAUUUGGGACGAUACAUUUUUUGAAUUUGGUGCAGCAUUGAGAUGGAAAGUGUUCCCUCUCAGUAGUGUUGGGGCACUCACCAUGUGUUGGAAAUAAGGUCUUUUUAUGAAGAUUAAACCAAGACCGUAACCACACCUGCGGGGGAUUUUUAGUCCCAAACUCGGCACCGAUUUGUCAUUGGAAGAGGGCCACAGACCCAACGGGGGAUGCUCGCGUUAAGGCCUCGACGUCACUGUGACUUUAAACAACAAGCCCACCUCCAGCGCCUUCAGUCUGACUCAAGUUGGUGGAGGCAGGUGAAGAAACAACGUUAGUUUUAUGGAAAACCAUGGUUGACAAUCUUUAACUCUGCUGAACAAUGGACCAGAUAAGCAAAUGGAGUUUUUCGUGGGGGGAGGUAUUUUUAGAUUCUCUUCCCACACAAGUCAACGCGGCAAAGCUUGGCGCAGCAGCGCCAAGUUUAAAAGGAAAGUUGAAGAAACGCGUCGACCGCCACUUCUCUGUUUAGGCUUUUGUCAGGGCAGAGAUUGGUCAGAUUCUGUUAAUAACUUUUUAAGUUUACCAUUACAAAGGCUUAUUGUGCAGGACCGCUAAACUACAUAAUUGCUCCAUAGAUAUUACUAUGGUGUACCAUGCUGCUGUUCUAGUGUUGUUUUGAUCGAUCACUCACCGUGAGGGAAAUUGGUUAGCGAGAUUGACAGUUAUGUUUAUAUAUGAUAGAAGUUUCCUCAUAAUUUUAGAUAGUGAGUUCAUGUGUACCGUGAUAAUCGGUAGACACGUAGCCUCUGCUCAAAUGCCAACCUUCAUUGUUCACUCGUAAUGUGGAAUAGUACUUUGACCGUUGACGUCAACGUCAAUGUGGUUAUUUAUUCCCAGGAUGGUGCCUCAUUAUUACUAUAAUUUGUUAAUCUGAUGUUUUUUUUAUAAUUAAAUGAUCAAAGAAAAAGUACGUAUGUAUAUAUGUUUUCUGUACAUGUAUAGCUUAGUUACAAAGAAUAAUUCACUUUGCUGUGUGAUAUUGAUGACAGCAGUGUAGAUAAAUGUCCUACAAAACCUCCUGUCAUUUGUUUUGCAUGGGAACAAAGGGUUUCUAUUGUCAUGCCAUUAGGGAGUUUCCCCCAUUGGAAAAAACAACUGUCAUCCCCCAAUGGUGUGUAUGUACUAAGGUUUGUUGAUGGUUCUGUGCAAAUUCCGAUAAUGCCGUGAACUACGGCGGUGAACUCGUAUUACUGAGGUUCAAAGACCAAUUGAACACAGAUCCAAACCCGCCACCGCUGUUUUUACAUAGCUCCAUCGUUUGGCUCCGCCCCUGCAGACGAAACCCGGGCCCGCAGGUCGGACCGGGAGCAAAAAACACUCUAAUGCCUUGUGGCUUCUCGUUGGCACAUUUUUCACCAUUAAGGUUUUGGAGGGAAACUCUAGAGUGCAUUCCUGGUAAUUAAUAAGGCAAGAGCAGGUUUCCAUUUGGAGUAUUUGAACAUGUUAUAAUAAUAAAGCUUGAACAUUGGGG
ensembl:lncRNA